AUUGAACGCUGGCGGCAGGCCUAACACAUGCAAGUCGAACGAGUGGCGGACGGGUGAGUAAUGUAUGGGAAUCUGCCCGAUGGAGGGGGAUAACUACUGGAAACGGUAGCUAAUACCGCAUACUAUCGGAUGUGCCCAUAUGGGAUUAGCUAGUAGGUGGGGUAACGGCUCACCUAGGCGACGAUCCCUAGCUGGUCUGAGAGGAUGACCAGCCACACGGGGACUGAGACACGGCCCAGACUCCUACGGGAGGCAGCAGUGGGGAAUAUUGCACAAUGGGCGCAAGCCUGAUGCAGCCAUGCCGCGUGUAUGAAGAAGGCCUUAGGGUUGUAAAGUACUUUCAGCGGGGAGGCGUUACUCGCAGAAGAAGCACCUGCUAACUCCGUGCCAGCAGCCGCGGUAAUUC
rnacentral:rRNA from 1 species